CUUGAUGGAGCCGAGCAGCAGUGGCCGGUCCGCGGGCCGGUCCUGCCCGUACGUCGCCAGCAGGGCCUGGGCCUC
rnacentral:antisense_RNA from 3 species